rnacentral:rRNA from 1 species
UAGGGAAUAUUAGUAAUGGGCGCAAGCCUGAACUAGCAACGCCGCGUGUGCGAAGAAGGCCUUCGGGUUGUAAAGCACUUUUUGAGAGGAUGAGGAAGGACGGUACUCUCAGAAUAAGUCUCGGCUAACUACGUGCCAGCAGCCGCGGUAACACGUAGGAGGCGAACGUUAUCCGGAUUUACUGGGCGUAAAGCGCGUGUAGGUGGUUUGGUAAGUAGGGCGUGAAAGCUCCUGGCUCAACUGGGAGAGGCCGUUCUAAACUGCCGAACUAGAGGAUGGUAGAGGGAGGUGGAAGUCCGGGUGUAGCGGUGGAAUGCGCGGAUAUCCGGAGGAACACCAGUGGCGAAAGCGGCCUCCUGGACCAUGCCUGACACUCAGACGCGAAAGCGAGGGUAGCAAACGG